GUGCCAGCAGCCGCGGUAAUACGUAGGGGGCGAACGUUGUCCGGAUUUAUUGGGCGUAAAGAGCUCGUAGGCGGCUCAGCAAGUCGGCCGUGAAAACCCGGGGCUCAACCCCGGGACGCCGGUCGAAACUGCUGUGGCUAGGGUUCGGUAGAGGAGAGUGGAAUUCCCGGUGUAGCGGUGAAAUGCGCAGAUAUCGGGAGGAACACCAGUAGCGAAGGCGGCUCUCUGGGCCGAUACCGACGCUGAGGAGCGAAAGCUAGGGGAGCAAACAGGAUUAGAUACCCGCGUAGUCC
rnacentral:rRNA from 1 species